rnacentral:rRNA from 1 species
AUGUACAUUCCUACAACAUAGCGCUAAUGCACUGGAUCCCAUUAGAAAUCUACAGUUAAGCACGUUCAGGCUAAACUUGUACUAGGAUGGGUGAUCACCCAGGAAGUCCUACUGUUUUACAUU